AGAGUUUGAUCCUGGCUCAGGAUGAACGCUGGCGGCGUGCUUAACACAUGCAAGUCGAACGAACCUUCGGGUUAGUGGCGGACGGGUGAGUAACGCGUGAGAAUCUGCCCUCAGGAGGGGGAUAACAGUUGGGAACGACUGCUAAUACCCCAUAUGCCGAGAGGUGAAAUGAAUUUCGCCUGGGGAUGAGCUCGCGUCUGAUUAGCUUGUUGGUGGGGUAAUAGCCUACCAAGGCUUCGAUCAGUAGCUGGUCUGAGAGGACGAUCAGCCACACUGGGACUGAGACACGGCCCAGACUCCUACGGGAGGCAGCAGUGGGGAAUUUUCCGCAAUGGGCGAAAGCCUGACGGAGCAACGCCGCGUGAGGGAUGGAGGCCUUUGGGCUGUAAACCUCUUUUCUCAAGGAAGAAGAUCUGACGGUACUUGAGGAAUAAGCCACGGCUAAUUCCGUGCCAGCAGCCGCGGUAAUACGGGGGUGGCAAGCGUUAUCCGGAAUUAUUGGGCGUAAAGCGUCCGCAGGCGGCCGUUUAAGUCUGUUGUUAAAUCGUGGAGCUCAACUCCAUCACGGCAAUGGAAACUGUUCGGCUUGAGUAUGGUAGGGGCAGAGGGAAUUUCCGGUGUAGCGGUGAAAUGCGUAGAUAUCGGGAAGAACACCAGUGGCGAAAGCGCUCUGCUGGGCCAUUACUGACGCUCAUGGACGAAAGCCAGGGGAGCGAAAGGGAUUAGAUACCCCUGUAGUCCUGGCCGUAAACGAUGAACACUAGAUGUUGGGGGAAUCGACCCCCUCGGUGUCGUAGCUAACGCGUUAAGUGUUCCGCCUGGGGAGUACGCACGCAAGUGUGAAACUCAAAGGAAUUGACGGGGGCCCGCACAAGCGGUGGAGUAUGUGGUUUAAUUCGAUGCAACGCGAAGAACCUUACCAAGGCUUGACAUCCUGCGAAUCUCUAAGAAAUUAGAGAGUGCCUUCGGGAACGCAGUGACAGGUGGUGCAUGGCUGUCGUCAGCUCGUGUCGUGAGAUGUUGGGUUAAGUCCCGCAACGAGCGCAACCCACGUUUUUAGUUGCCAGCAUUCAGUUGGGCACUCUAGAAAGACUGCCGGUGACAAACCGGAGGAAGGUGUGGACGACGUCAAGUCAUCAUGCCCCUUACGCCUUGGGCUACACACGUACUACAAUGCUGCGGACAAAGAGUAGCGAUCUUGCGAAAGUUAGCUAAUCUCAUAAACCGUGGCUCAGUUCAGAUCGUAGGCUGCAACUCGCCUACGUGAAGGAGGAAUCGCUAGUAAUCGCAGGUCAGCAUACUGCGGUGAAUACGUUCCCGGGCCUUGUACACACCGCCCGUCACACCAUGGAAGUUGGCCAUGCCCGAAGUCGUUACUCUAACCUUUUGGAAGAGGGCGCCGAAGGCAGGGCUAAUGACUGGGGUGAAGUCGUAACAAGGUAACC
rnacentral:rRNA from 1 species